rnacentral:misc_RNA from 1 species
GAUGAAGAACGCAGUGAAAUGCGAUAAGUAAUGUGAAUUGCAGAAUUCAGUGAAUCAUCGAAUCUUUGAACGCACAUUGCGCCCUCUGGUAUUCCGGGGGGCAUGCCUGUCCGAGCGUCAUUUGCAACCCUCAAGCCCGGCUUGUGUGAUGGGUGCCGUCCCCUACGGGACGCGCCCCGAAGGCAAUGGCGGCGUCGCGGUUAUCCGAUCAGCCAAAGUGUAUGGGGCUUUGUCACUCACUUUACGGCCCGGACCGGCGCCAGUCCGAAUCAAUCUUUUUUCUAAAGUUGACCUCGGAUCAGGUAGGGAUACCCGCUGAACUUAAGCAUAUCAAUAGCGGAGGA